rnacentral:rRNA from 1 species
UACCACUUGAUAACACAUAAGUGGCACAAUCUGCCCAAUGAGACUUUGAAUGGCCGCGGUAUCCUGACCGUGCUAAGGUAGCAUAAUCACUUGCCAAUUAAUUGUUGGCUAGAAUGAACGAUUAAACGAAAUGAAAGCUGUCUCCUGCUAUUAUAUAAAAAUUAAUCUUCUAGUGAAGAAGCUAGAAUAAAAUCACAGGACAAGAAGACCCUACAGAGCUUAAUUCCUAUAUAUUUCACAAAAAUAUAAAACAAUUUAGUUGGGGCGACUAAUGGAUAAAAAACACCAUUUAUUUAAAAGAUUUACCAAUCAAGCAAAAGAUCCUAAUUUAUAGAUCAAAGAUAAAGCUACCUUAGGGAUAACAGGCUUAUUGUUUUAGAGAGAUCAAAUCAACAAAACAGAUUGGCACCUCGAUGUUGGCUUAAGGUAUCUUUACAGGCGCAGCAGCCUUAACAGUGGGUUUGUUCAACCCUUAAAACCUU